AGCAGCCGCGGUAAUUCCAGCCCCAAUAGCGUAUAUUAAAGUUGUUGCAGUUAAAAAGCUCGUAGUUGAACUUCAGGCCUGGCUGGACGGUCCGCCCUCUGGGUGAGCACUGUCUGUGGUCGGGUCCUACCUUCUGGCGAAGCGGCAUGGCCUUAACCGGCCGUGGCGGGGAACCAGGACUUUUACUGUGAAAAAAUUGAGUGUUCAAAGCAGGCACGCGCUUGAAUACAUUAGCAUGGAAUAAUGGAAUAGGACAAUGGUUCUAUUUGUUGGUUUCUAGGACCGUUGUAAUGAUUAAUAGGGAUAGUUGGGGGCAUUAGUAUUCAAUUGUCAGAGGUGAAAAUUCUUGGAUUUAUUGAAGACUAACUACUGCGAAAGCAUUUGCCAAGGAUGUUUUCAUUAAUCAAGAACGAAGUUAGGGAUCGAAGACGAUCAGAUACCGUCGUAGUCUUAACCAUAAACUAUGCCGACUAGGAAUCGGGCGAUGUUAACAAUUGACGCGCUCGGCACCUCAUGGGAA
rnacentral:rRNA from 1 species